rnacentral:misc_RNA from 1 species
CUAAAAUAAUACCAGGUUCACAUUGUUACGACUAAACAAAAAGUACAACAAUCCAAGUCAAAAGUACGAUAGUUUGGGGGCUUAUGGAGCAGCUGUCACAGAAAUACCAAAUAAACCUGCAUGAGAAAAGUCUUAGGAGUGAUAAAGCCAGAGAUCUUCUACCCCAGCUCCAGAGAAGGUGACUUGAGAAACAAAAAUGGUUCCAGACAGCAUAAUAGAAGCCAUUGGGCAAGUGUUAGAAGACCAGAAUCGCCCUCUAAAGGAACGUUUUCGUGCUCUCUUUACACUGAAGAAUCUUGGUGGAGAAGCUGCCAUAGUUGCUAUAUCACAGUGUUUUAGCGAUCCUUCAGCACUCCUGAAACACGAGUCGGCAUACUGCCUCGGACAAAUGGGGGAUACACGCGCUAUCCCUACACUUACAAAAAUAUUAAAAGACGUUGAACAGGAACCCAUUGUACGUCAUGAGGCUGGAGAGGCUCUGGGGGCCAUAGGGGACCCCUCAGUCUUGGAUCUCUUAAGGUCUUAUAGUAAGGACCCUGUUACUGAGGUAGCAGAGACUUGUCAGUUGGCUGUAGGGAGAAUAGAAUGGUUUCAGAAGGAGUCUAAUAAAGGCGAAAAAUUUGAAGGAGCCGAUAAAUUCUUCUCUGUUGAUCCAACUCCGCCAGCAACCGAUACGGAUGUUGAAAAGUUAAGAGAAAGGUUACUUGAAGAAUCCCUUCCACUUUUUGACCGUUAUCGUGCAAUGUUUUCUCUUCGUAACCUGAACACCCCAGAGAGUGCCAAAGCUCUUGCUGCAGGAUUUAAAUGCAGCAGUGCCCUCUUUCGUCAUGAAAUUGGUUUUGUAUUGGGUCAAAUGUCUAAUGAUGUUGUAGUCAAAGAAUUAACAGCUGUCGUGCAAGAUGAAAAUGAAAACGAAAUGGUACGUCAUGAGGCAGCCGAGGCUCUUGGUUCAAUAGCCACUGUAGCAGCCAUGGCAGUAUUAAAAGAAUACCAACGAGACAAAGCCCGUGUAGUACGAGAGAGCUGUGAAGUAGCGCUGGAUAUGUCAGAGUAUGAAAAUAGCUCUGAGUUUCAAUAUGCCGAUGGACUCCUUAAGAUUGAACAGAAUGAAAAUGGAAUGACAGGUUAAAUGUAAUCAUUCAUUAUUAAGAAACAAAAUCCAGUCAUGCAGGCAGAGUCCAAGGUGGCUGGAGACGAGAGCAAACGCACGCCGUCUUUAUUUACUGUGAGCCACUCGACACCGUGCUGCUCCAUCAUUCGUAUACGCUGCUGCUUCAUUAAAACUACAGUACAAUGACUCCAGAGCCAAGAAGUAGUGACAGUCAAUGCCGGCCCCAGCUGUGUGUGGCUGCACAGGGCCCUCUCCUGAAUACAAUAUAUUUGCUUUUAGUAGGAUUUGUAUUUCAAAUCUGGCGUGUCGUGUGGUAUGCGCAUCCCAAAACUGCAGGCGAGUGCGUUUCAGCCAUCUGGCACCGGUAAGUCUGGUCUAUGACGGUUUCUGUCUACAGAGUAUAAAAUCCUGGCAAUGGUGUCAGAUUCACACCCUCCUGGGGAAAGGAAGGACAUGAGUGUUGUUAGUAUUUAUGUUUGUAUCUGUUAUGUGUUCACAGUUGUAACAAUAGAAGUUGCUCAUUUAUAGCUGUUACCGCCACAGUAAGAUAAACUAGAAGAGAGAGAGAGGGUGAGAGGAGAGACACAGUGUUGACAACGAAUUUUGCCGAGGUGUUUAAAUGGGCUCGUCGGCCACACUGGUAACAGCUGUGACGGACAGUCUAUCGCCUUCUACUGUAGAGACAACAGCUACCAGGAGGAUAUUAUAUUUGUUCUCGUUGGUCAAACCCUAGACCCCAAAACGUGAGUGUGAUUGUGAACU